rnacentral:rRNA from 1 species
GACGAACGCUGGCGGCGUGCCUAAUACAUGCAAGUAGAACGCUGAAGAGAGGAGCUUGCUCUUCUUGGAUGAGUUGCGAACGGGUGAGUAACGCGUAGGUAACCUGCCUUGUAGCGGGGGAUAACUAUUGGAAACGAUAGCUAAUACCGCAUAACAAUGGAUGACACAUGUCAUUUAUUUGAAAGGGGCAAUUGCUCCACUACAAGAUGGACCUGCGUUGUAUUAGCUAGUAGGUGAGGUAACGGCUCACCUAGGCGACGAUACAUAGCCGACCUGAGAGGGUGAUCGGCCACACUGGGACUGAGACACGGCCCAGACUCCUACGGGAGGCAGCAGUAGGGAAUCUUCGGCAAUGGGGGCAACCCUGACCGAGCAACGCCGCGUGAGUGAAGAAGGUUUUCGGAUCGUAAAGCUCUGUUGUAAGUCAAGAACGAGUGUGAGAGUGGAAGGUUCACACUGUGACGGUAGCUUACCAGAAAGGGACGGCUAACUACGUGCCAGCAGCCGCGGUAAUACGUAGGUCCCGAGCGUUGUCCGGAUUUAUUGGGCGUAAAGCGAGCGCAGGCGGUUUGAUAAGUCUGAAGUUAAAGGCUGUGGCUCAACCAUAGUUCGCUUUGGAAACUGUCAAACUUGAGUGCAGAAGGGGAGAGUGGAAUUCCAUGUGUAGCGGUGAAAUGCGUAGAUAUAUGGAGGAACACCGGUGGCGAAAGCGGCUCUCUGGUCUGUAACUGACGCUGAGGCUCGAAAGCGUGGGGAGCGAACAGGAUUAGAUACCCUGGUAGUCCACGCCGUAAACGAUGAGUGCUAGGUGUUGGAUCCUUUCCGGGAUUCAGUGCCGCAGCUAACGCAUUAAGCACUCCGCCUGGGGAGUACGACCGCAAGGUUGGAACUCAAAGGAAUUGACGGGGGCCCGCACAAGCGGUGGAGCAUGUGGUUUAAUUCGAAGCAACGCGAAGAACCUUACCAGGUCUUGACAUCCCGAUGCUAUUUCUAGAGAUAGAAAGUUACUUCGGUACAUCGGUGACAGGUGGUGCAUGGUUGUCGUCAGCUCGUGUCGUGAGAUGUUGGGUUAAGUCCCGCAACGAGCGCAACCCCUAUUGUUAGUUGCCAUCAUUCAGUUGGGCACUCUAGCGAGACUGCCGGUAAUAAACCGGAGGAAGGUGGGGAUGACGUCAAAUCAUCAUGCCCCUUAUGACCUGGGCUACACACGUGCUACAAUGGUUGGUACAACGAGUUGCGAGUCGGUGACGGCAAGCUAAUCUCUUAAAGCCAAUCUC